GUCGAGCGAACGGAUGAGAAGCUUGCUUCUCUGAUGUUAGCGGCGGACGGGUGAGUAACACGUGGAUAACCUACCUAUAAGACUGGGAUAACUUCGGGAAACCGGAGCUAAUACCGGAUAAUAUUUUGAACCGCAUGGUUCAAAAGUGAAAGACGGUCUUGCUGUCACUUAUAGAUGGAUCCGCGCUGCAUUAGCUAGUUGGUAAGGUAACGGCUUACCAAGGCAACGAUGCAUAGCCGACCUGAGAGGGUGAUCGGCCACACUGGAACUGAGACACGGUCCAGACUCCUACGGGAGGCAGCAGUAGGGAAUCUUCCGCAAUGGGCGAAAGCCUGACGGAGCAACGCCGCGUGAGUGAUGAAGGUCUUCGGAUCGUAAAACUCUGUUAUUAGGGAAGAACAUAUGUGUAAGUAACUGUGCACAUCUUGACGGUACCUAAUCAGAAAGCCACGGCUAACUACGUGCCAGCAGCCGCGGUAAUACGUAGGUGGCAAGCGUUAUCCGGAAUUAUUGGGCGUAAAGCGCGCGUAGGCGGUUUUUUAAGUCUGAUGUGAAAGCCCACGGCUCAACCGUGGAGGGUCAUUGGAAACUGGAAAACUUGAGUGCAGAAGAGGAAAGUGGAAUUCCAUGUGUAGCGGUGAAAUGCGCAGAGAUAUGGAGGAACACCAGUGGCGAAGGCGACUUUCUGGUCUGUAACUGACGCUGAUGUGCGAAAGCGUGGGGAUCAAACAGGAUUAG
rnacentral:rRNA from 1 species